CGAAACCGAAACCCCCUUUGCGAGAUUCGCUGCAUCUAUACCUGAUUUGCGUUCAAAAAUGCCUGCUUAAUUAUUUCAUAGUAAGAGCAAACAUGCCUUAAGAAAAGGAGUAGGUUUGAAACUUUAGUAACCAUAAAAAGUACGCCAGGUGGAUGCCUUUCUACUCCAGGAAGCCGCAGCCUACGGCCUGAAGGAGGAAGAGGACGCGGUCAGUUUGAAAUAGCUGAAUCGAUGACAUCCUGAAAGCAGCAAUACAAUUAAGCUGGGCCAGUUCUUCAGAUGAUCAGAGGGACUUCGCCAUCAUCACAUCCCUCAUUGCUGCAGUCAGACUGAAACAGGACGGUGAUGCAUGGCAGUCCAUGCCCGAGAUACGGAUGAUGAAGAGACCACAGCAAC